rnacentral:rRNA from 1 species
UACGUAGGGUGCAAGCGUUAAUCGGAAUUACUGGGCGUAAAGCGUGCGCAGGCGGCUUUGCAAGACAGAUGUGAAAUCCCCGGGCUCAACCUGGGAACUGCAUUUGUGACUGCAUCGCUCGAGUGCGGCAGAGGGGGAUGGAAUUCCGCGUGUAGCAGUGAAAUGCGUAGAUAUGCGGAGGAACACCGAUGGCGAAGGCAAUCCCCGGGGCCUGCACUGACGUUCAUGCACGAAAGCGUGGGGAGCAAACAGG